CGCAGGCCACGGGCUCAGGCUGUGACAGGCCAGGAGAGAGAGUGAAUUCCUGAGCUGUGUACCUUCACCGAGAACAUCCUGCCUCCAGCACGGCAGGAAUUUGGGACUGCAGGCAAGGGCCAGGAAUGCAGGGCAGAAGGAAGGAGGGACGAUCUGAGGAGGGCUGGAAGCCAACCGAGAAGCAGGGCCAUAAAGUUUCCAGUUACCACUGUUUUCAAUAAACUGCAAUUUGUUUUAGAACUUCACGUCAGUUUUCUUGUAAAAGAUUCAACAGCACAGGAUCUGCCUUUGCACACGCGACAGUGGGAGCGUUAGGACCGGGAGUAACGUCAGUGCCGAGUAGAGUGAAGUGAGUGACACACACACCGGACAGGAGAUGCCCGAGGUGCAGAGGAGCCUUUGAUAACGGGGUUCCUGCCUUCCCCAGCACAGGUCCUGUCACUCCACUCUCGCCCCUGUUUCUGGGACGAUCCUGCUCCAUCCACCCUGAUGUCCUGCGUGUGACCUCAUCUAAAGUGCUGCUCACAGGGUGCUAGUCCGUCAGAACCUGCAGAUCCAAUUUCUCAACCUGUCCAUGCAGCCCCCGGGACUCGGGCCUUCAUCAGGUUCAUGCCUCAUACGCCGCAUGUGUUCUUGCUCUGACUCAGGCCUCGGAUCCUGCCCUGCUCAGGCCCUGUCAGUUGCCCCUUCUCCAACUUUAAUCCCAGAAGGAAGCCUCUCAAGACCAACUUCUCCAAUGGGGGAUGACCUUCCUCUCUUGAACUUGUGUAUCACACAAGCCAGACAUGCGUUCUGCUGCGUUUUGUAUUCCUGGCUGCUUCACGUCUGGACUCUCCAAACAGGUUGCACAAUGUUCGAGGGCAGAAGUCAAGUUUUGCACCCUCUCUGGGUCUCUCCUGUGCUGGGCACACAGGCAGAAGUUUGCUUGUGUUCGUUGUUGUAUCACGGACAGGAAAUAGAAUACCCUGUGGUGAAAGGCCCAUCUUUCUUACAGGAAAGAAAUUAUAUCUGUAGGUGCGGGUGGACUGGAGAUCUGCAAAGCAGCCCAGGGAUGGGCAAGGACUGUGGAGGCCAGAGAGGAGGAGCAGCAUCAGGCAUUUUCCAGCCCUGCCUGGUUUCAGUCUGAGGGUCGGGCGCUCUUUCUGAUAAAGCUGUGAAUUAAGGUUGAAAU